rnacentral:rRNA from 1 species
CAUGUGUAAGCGAAGCGAUAAGUGGAGCGGUGAAAGGCUCAGUAACGGGCGAUUUAUUUGAUCUCCUGGGACGGACAACAUCGGGAAACUGAUGGGAAAACGUCUAAGUUGCAGUUUUUUUUUGAUUGCGACGUAAACCUUUUGGUGCAGGAGAGUAAGAUGCCAUCCUAUCAGUUAGUAAGUAGGGUAAGGGCCUACUUAGACGAAGACGGGUACGGGGAAUGAGGGUUUGAUUCCGGAGAGGGAGCCUGAGAGAUGGCUACCAGGACCAAGGUCAGCAGCAGGCGCGAAAAUUAUCGAAGCCCGCCUAGGGGCGAUAGUGAGGAGACGUGUAUAACGAAGUACGUGUAAAGACCGUACUAAUAACUGGAGGUCAAGUCUGGUGCCAGCAUCCGCGGUAAUUCCAGCUCCAGGGGUGUCUAUGAUGAUUGCUGCGAUUAAAAAGUCCGUAGUCGAGCUGACUGACUGACCUGCAAUGUGGUUGAUUAAAAGACGAGCAGGGUUAGGAAAGCAGAGAAUUAGGAGCGACCGAGGGCUAGAGUAUUGAAUGGCGAGAGGUGAAAUUUGAUGACCCAUUCAGGAGUGACAAAGGCGAAGGCACUAGUCAAGGGCGAAUCCGAUGAUCAAGGACGUAGGCUAGAGUUUCGAAAACGAUUAGAGACCGGAGUAGUUCUAGCAGUAAACUAUGCCGACACCGUGGUAUUAAUUUUUUAGUAUUGCGGAAGAGAAAUCAAGUAAGGCUUUGGGGAGAGUACGCGCGCAAGCGAUAAAUUUAAAGGAAAUUGACGGAGGAACACCACAAGGAGUGGAGUGUGCGG